GAAAUGCGAUACUUGGUGUGAAUUGCAGAAUCCCGUGAACCAUCGAGUCUUUGAACGCAAGUUGCGCCCGAAGCCAUUAGGCCGAGGGCACGCCUGCCUGGGUGUCACAUGAAGAAC
rnacentral:misc_RNA from 1 species